AUAAUCCAUGUGGAAAAAUGUGUUGAAAUAAUUGUAACCUAAUCACUAUUUUAAAUAAUAUUUCAAAUAAACUCCAUAGCCCUGGUUUAUAGGGUACUGGCGCGGUACCUUUUCAAAAUGUAUGCGUUUGUAUCUAAAGAGUCCAUUUUGGUACCUUAAAGGUUCAUAUUAGUACUUAAAGUGUAUAUAUUUGAACUUAAUAGGUACUAAAGUGUAACUAUUGAAAAGUUCCCCUACUUCCUCAGUGAGAGUUUUUGACCUUUGUGAACCACUUUUACAUGAACAUAUUACUGUUUAAGUGCAGAAAUGCACGGCUGCAAUCAUACAAAUAGGUAUCUCAGAAAGUAUACAUAUACACAAGUUUAUCCCUUUAACAUACACCAAGUUGUAUGCACUGUAAUGUGAUUUGAUAUGUAAUGCUUAGCAGAACCAGGUGAUUAUGUUCUUCCUAAACAGGCAGAAGUUCCAAUGCUCACAAUUGACCUCUCUGAUGAAUAUUUUACUGAGAUGUGCUUCUCCAGGCCAAUGUAUAGAAAUGUGUGAUGCAAUGGCUAAAAUGAUCCAUAAGAGGGCGGUCUUAAACCAAAAAAUGAAUACAAACCAAGCCAUUUCUUCAAGGGUACAUAAGGGGAGGAGAUCCAAAGCAAUUAUUUCAGGCAUGCAGCGGUUUCAAACAUAGAUAGGUUUCAGAUAGAUUUCAUUCACUCUUUGUCAGCAAUGCUAUUCUUAAUUUGUCUGAGCCUCGUCUCCCUUUUAACCGGUGAUGUCUCUAGUGAGGGAAUAGCUCCAGUCUCUCCUAAUGAAUUCUUCUCAGAAGGGGACACAAUCACUCUGUCCUGCAAUUACAACGGAUCAGCUACUACAGAUGCUCUGCACUGGUAUCGUCAGUACCCGAGAUCCAGACCGGACUUCCUGUUUCUGGUCAAUGAAGCUGCAUUUAACAUACCAGCUGAUCCUCCAAUUCCUGGAAUAUCAGCUAGAUUAAACGGGGAGAAAAGCCGUGUGGAUCUGGAGAUCACUGGCGCUGCAUUAACUGAUUCUGCUGUGUACUACUGCGCCCUGCAGCCCACAGUGACAGCAAACACACACACACACUGUACAAAAACCUGACACACUAAAACAGAAUUCAGUGUCUUUGCUCAGUGGAUGAUCAUGCAUGUUGAUUUGAGCAUUUUGAUCCAGCAUUUUAGAGCCAAAGAUUAAGCAUGAGAUUUAAUUGCCUUAGCAACAACUAACCUUGUGUUGAAGAAAACAGAAUACUGUAAAUAAAUAAAUAAAACCAGAAUUUAAGGAUAUGCAUUUAGUAAACCUCUCUAACAGUUCUCACCAGUAUGCAAUCUAUGUUUUGUCAUAUUUCAGUCUUUUUUGUCAGCGCAUUGAGUGUGUUAUGUUACACUGCACACAUUUUUUUGACUCUUCUCAUUAUAUUAUUUCAGAAAUUGUCCUGAAGUUUAAAUACAAAAAUAUUGAUAAAUCAUGCAUUAUUAAAGAUUUAACUAAUCUUUGCUCUAAUCAUUUUUACUUUAACGUCUCAUGAUUGCUGUCAAAUAUUUGUCUUUUUGAUAUAAAGCCAAAUGUGACAAUUAUGGAUAUACCUGACUCAACAUUUUCUCAUAUGAAAAAUUUGUCAAAAUUUUUCAAAUGUACAUUCUCAUGAAAUUUUUUUACAUUUUAUGUAGGCACUACCUGCAAGAUACUAUGCAGCAUUUUUUUCGUUUUGAAAGUGUAUCACAUUUUAUAUAAUCAUAAUUAUACAUAGAUGAUGUGGGCGGAGCUUCAAGAAGUGUUGGGAUUUAUCUAUUUGGCUUCGGUCGGUACUUUAGCAUUUCAAAAAUGGCUUCGUUUUUAUACCUACUUGUAAUUUUAGCUAUGCAGGGUGAGUAGGGUUUAAUUAAAUUGUACAGUAAUAUUUAAAUACAUGAUACAAAAAAAAGCUAUUUUCAUAACAUUUCCUGAUGUUUGUCAUGCUCUAUUUGCAGAUAAAUCUUUUGGCCAGUCAAUAGAACCGUUGCAGACCACAGAACGCGCCACUGAGAGAGAGACAGCCAUUAUGUCGUGCAAAUAUGACAGCCAAGCACGGAGUUUACACUGGUAUC